rnacentral:rRNA from 1 species
GACGAACGCUGGCGGCGUGCUUAACACAUGCAAGUCGAACGGUGAAGUAGAGCUUGCUCUAUGGAUCAGUGGCGAACGGGUGAGUAACACGUGGGCAACCUGCCCCAGACUCUGGGAUAACUCCUCGAAAGAGGGGCUAAUACCGGAUAUUUGCAUUGCAAGACAUCUUGUGAUGCAGAAAGAAUUUCGGUCUGGGAUGGGCCCGCGGCCUAUCAGCUUGUUGGUGAGGUAACGGCUCACCAAGGCGACGACGGGUAGCCGGCCUGAGAGGGCGACCGGCCACACCGGGACCGAGACACGGCCCAGACUCAUACGGGAGGCAGCAGUGGGGAAUAUUGGGCAAUGGGCGCAAGCCUGACCCAGCAACGCCGCGUGAGGGAUGAAGGUCCUCGGAUUGUAAACCUCUUUCAGCAGGGACGAAGCGAAAGUGACGGUACCUGCAGAAGAAGCACCGGCUAACUACGUGCCAGCCGCCGCUGUAA